rnacentral:pre_miRNA from 1 species
GAAAAUGCCGCUAUAGAACAUGAUCUUUAGCGGCACUUUCCCUACAAACGUCACUAUAGAACAUGAUCUUUAGCGACACUUUUAUUACAAACACCGCUAAGGAACAUGAUUUUUAGCGACGUUUUUUUUACAAACGCCGCAAAAGAGUCGAGCAUGUUGUGGUGUUUGUAACUAGAAUCGCCGCAAAAGAUCAUGUUCUUUAGCGGCAUUUACG